UACAGAGGGUGCGAGCGUUGUCCGGAUUUAUUGGGCGUAAAGAGCGUGUAGGCGGUUAUACAGGUCCGCUGUGAAAACUGGAGGCUUAACCUCCAGACGUCGGUGGAAACCGUAUGACUAGAGUCCGGAAGAGGAGAGUGGAAUUCCUGGUGUAGCGGUGAAAUGCGCAGAUAUCAGGAAGAACACCCGUGCGAAGGCGGCUCUCUGGGACGGUACUGACGCUGAGACGCGAAAGCGUGGGUAGCGAACAGG
rnacentral:rRNA from 1 species